GUAGGGAAUAUUGGGCAAUGGUCGGAAGACUGACCCAGCCAUGCCGCGUGCAGGAAGACGGCCCUCUGGGUUGUAAACUGCUUUUAUCUGGGAAGAAAAAGGCCAUGCGUGGCAAAUUGCCGGUACCAGAUGAAUAAGCACCGGCUAACUCCGUGCCAGCAGCCGCGGUAAUACGGAGGGUGCGAGCGUUGUCCGGAUUUAUUGGGUUUAAAGGGUGCGUAGGCGGCUGAUUAAGUCAGCGGUGAAAGACUUCGGCUUAACCGGAGCAGUGCCGUUGAUACUGGUUGGCUUGAGUGUCGGAGGGGUACAUGGAAUUGAUGGUGUAGCGGUGAAAUGCAUAGAUACCAUCAGGAACACCGAUAGCGAAGGCAUUGUACUGGCCGACAACUGACGCUGAUGCACGAAAGUGUGGGGAUCGAACAGGAUUAGAAACCCGAGUAGUCC
rnacentral:rRNA from 1 species